rnacentral:rRNA from 1 species
UACGGAGGGCGCAAGCGUUGAUCGGAAUCACUGGGCGUAAAGCGCGUGUAGGCGGCCGGGCAAGUCGGAUGUGAAAUCCCGAGGCUCAACCUCGGAACUGCAUUCGAAACUGCUCGGCUCGAGUCCCGGAGAGGAUGGCGGAAUUCCCGGUGUAGGGGUGAAAUCCGUAGAUAUCGGGAGGAACACCAGUGGCGAAGGCGGCCAUCAGGACGGUGACUGACGCUGAGACGCGAAAGCGUGGGGAGCAAACGGG